rnacentral:snRNA from 1 species
GUACACACUUCAGCAGUACAUAUACUAAAAUUAGAAAGAUACAGAGAUGAUUAGCACAACCCUCGAGGAACGAUGCCACGAAAAGUUGUGGGGUUCGAUUAC